CGGCUGUGCGGAGACAAAGCUUGUCGCGAGUGAGUGCGGUGCUACGCCGAGUGGUGUCGUGUCGGCGUGUGUGUGCGCCGUGGAAGUGUUGGUGUUCCUGUUGCUGAAGUAUGCUGGACUCAUGGACCUGGCUCCUUGCUUCCUGCUCAGAAGCAAGAUGGAAGGAUUUCUCUACUCCGAGGGAUGGCUAUCUUGCACUCUCAGCCCCGGGAAACAGCCAGAGCAGAGCUGAGGAGGACCUGGAAGCCCAGGGGCAGGGAAUGUCUGUCAUUCCCUUUCUUCCCAAGGAACAGAUGAGAUGGAGGAGGAAGAAAAGUGAAAUCUCUAGAGUAGAGAAGAGAUGGAGAAUCUGGAAAAAAAUAUGUUUCCCAGAGUCCUGAGUAUGGCAAGACUCUAGGGAGUUGACAACAGAGGAAGAAGCAAAACAAGAAUCAGUUAACCCCCGAAAGAGAUUUCCAGCAGUCUGGUGUGAAAUGCCAGUACAGGUAAGAGAAUCUGCAAGGAAAGCACUAGAGGAAU